AAUAUUGCACAAUGGGGGAAACCCUGAUGCAGCGACGCCGCGUGAGCGAAGAAGGCCUUCGGGUUGUAAAGCUCUUUCACCGGUGAAGAUAAUGACGGUAACCGGAGAAGAAGCCCCGGCUAACUUCGUGCCAGCAGCCGCGGUAAUACGAAGGGGGCUAGCGUGGUUCGGAAUUACUGGGCGUAAAGCGCACGUAGGCGGACAUAUAAGUCAGGGGUGAAAUCCCGGGGCUCAACCCCGGAACUGCCUUUGAUUCUGGGUGUCUCGAGUCCGAGAGAGGUGAGUGGAAUUCCGAGUGUAGAGGUGAAAUUCGUAGAUAUUCGGAGGAACACCAGUGGCGAAGGCGGCUCACUGGCUCGGUACUGACGCUGAGGUGCGAAAGCGUGGGGAGCAAACA
rnacentral:rRNA from 1 species